AGUGAACGCUGGCGGUAGGCCUAACACAUGCAAGUCGAACGGCAGCACAGUAAGAGCUUGCUCUUACGGGUGGCGAGUGGCGGACGGGUGAGGAAUACAUCGGAAUCUACUUUUUCGUGGGGGAUAACGUAGGGAAACUUACGCUAAUACCGCAUACGACCUACGGGUGAAAGCAGGGGAUCUUCGGACCUUGCGCGAUUGAAUGAGCCGAUGUCGGAUUAGCUAGUUGGCGGGGUAAAGGCCCACCAAGGCGACGAUCCGUAGCUGGUCUGAGAGGAUGAACCGCCACACUGGAACUGAGACACGGUUCAGACGCCGACGGGAGGCAGCAGUUGGGAAUCUUACGCAAAGGGGGAAAGCCUGACACAGCACAACCGCGGGAGUGAAGAAGGGCCUCGGAUCGGAAAACCCUUUUAUUUGGGAAAAAAAAAUGUGGAAGUAACACCGCACGUUUUGACGGUACCCAAAAAAAAAGCCACGGCUAACUACGUG
rnacentral:rRNA from 1 species